rnacentral:rRNA from 1 species
GACAAACGCUGGCGGCGUGCCUAAUACAUGCAAGUCGAGCGCAGGAAGCUGACGGAACUCUUCGGAGAGAAGGCAGUGGAAUGAGCGGCGGACGGGUGAGUAACGCGUAAGGAACCUGCCUCAAGGAUUGGGAUAACUCCGAGAAAUCGGAGCUAAUACCGGAUAGUUCAACGGACCGCAUGGUCCGCUGAUGAAAGGCGCUUCGGCGUCACCUUGAGAUAGCCUUGCGGUGCAUUAGCUAGUUGGUGGGGUAACGGCCCACCAAGGCGACGAUGCAUAGCCGACCUGUGAGGGUGAUCGGCCACACUGGGACUGAGACACGGCCCAGACUCCUACGGGAGUCAGCAGUAGGGAAUCUUCCACAAUGGACGAAAGUCUGAUGGAGCAACGCCGCGUGAGUGAUGAAGGUUUUCGGAUCGUAAAACUCUGUUGUAAGGGAAGAACACGUACGAGAGGGAAUGCUCGUACCUUGACGGUACCUUACGAGAAAGCCACGGCUAACUACGUGCCAGCCGCCGCGGUAA